rnacentral:misc_RNA from 1 species
GAGAUCGCCAUGCUUGUC